rnacentral:rRNA from 1 species
CCGCCCGGUGCAAGCGGGGUACCAGCCACUUUGGCAAAUCCGGGUGGCAAUGGGAAUCCGUGAUGCGGAGCGAAAUAAAGUAGCGAAGUCCGUGAGCCAUGCGUCAAGAAAAGCCGCUAUUGCUUGUACCGUACCCGUACCGUAAACCGACACAGGUGGAUGAGGAGAGAAUCCUAAGGCCGGCGGAUGAAGCAUUGUCAAGGAACUCGGCAAAAUGGCCCCGUAACUUAGGGAUAAGGGGUGCCUGGGAAACCAGGCCGCAGAGAAUAGGCUCAAGCAACUGUUUUGCAAAGACACAGGUCUAUGCGAAACCGAAAGGUGAGGUAUAUGGGCUGACGCCUGCCCGGUGCUGGAAGGUUAAGAGGAGAGGUUAGCGGUAACGCGAAGCUUUGAAUUUAAGCCCCAGUAAACGGCGGCCGUAACUAUAACGGUCCUAAGGUAGCGAAAUUCCUUGUCGGGUAAGUUCCAACCCGCACGAAAGGCGUAAUGAUUUGAGCGCUGUCUCGACAAUGCAUCCGGUGAAAUUGAAGUACUAGUGAAGAUGCUGGUUACCUGCGCCAGGACGGAAAGACCCCAUGGAGCUUUACUCCAGUCUGGUACUGGGACUCGGUAUUGCAUGUACAGGAUAGGUGGGAGGCUAGGAGAUGGUAACGCCAGUUGCCAUGGAGCCGCUGUUGGGAUACCACCCUUGCAGUAUUGGGUUUCUAACCAGCCGCCGUGACCCGGCGGUGGGACAAUGCCAGACGGGGAGUUUGACUGGGGCGGUCGCCUCCGAAAGGGUAUCGGAGGCGCCCAAAGGUUCCCUCAGAAUGGACGGAAACCAUUCGAAGAGUGCAAAGGCAGAAGGGAGCUUGACUGCGACACCGACGGGUGGAGCAGGUACGAAAGUAGGGCUUAGUGAUCCGGUGGUAUUAAGUGGGAAUGCCAUCGCUCAACGGAUAAAAGCUACCCUGGGAUAACAGGCUUAUCACUCCCAAGAGUUCACAUCGACGGAGUGGUUUGGCACCUCGAUGUCGGCUCAUCGCAUCCUGGGGCUGUAGUAGGUCCCAAGGGUUGGGCUGUUCGCCCAUUAAAGCGGUACGCGAGCUGGGUUCAGAACGUCGUGAGACAGUUCGGUCCCUAACCGGCGUGGGCGUAGGAUAUCUGAGAGGAGCUGUCCUUAGUACGAGAGGACCGGGAUGGACGGGCCGCUGGUGCAUCGGUUAGACUGCCAAGUCUACGGCCGAGUAGCCAAGCCCGGAAGGGAUAAACGCUGAAGGCAUCUAAGCGUGAAGCCCCCCUUAAGAUGAGAUAUCCCAUUCGUUAAGAAGUAAACCCCCUUGAAGACGACGAGGUAGAUAGGGCAGAGGUGGAAGUGUGGCAACACAUGGAGCUGACUGUUACUAAUCGGGUGAGGGCUUGACC